CUCGACAACCUGAAUUCUAUAUUAAACAAUACAAGAAAGAUUAUAUAUAAUAAACUCAAUUAAUCAAGGUCCGUCUAUAUUAGUAUUAUAGUUGUUUGAUAGCCAUAUAUUCGUUCGUAUGUUGAUUACCAAAAUCUUUCGACCCGAUUCAAUAUAGAUUCUAAAUUUAAAAGAAGUCAUGGCUGCAAUGCAACACUUACUACAGUCAUUCUAAGGUUAUCUGGUGAAUAAAUAUUUUGCUUUUAACAAAUCCACCAUGAACGCUGUACAGAAAGCCGCCUUUUGCAAUAGCGAAAGUGUUAAGAAUUUUUGCUUUUGAAUUAUCUCAAAGUUUUACUAGAGAGUGCUUUGAGAUGCCAUAAUGAUUUUCAAUCAGUGAUAAAAUCUAAUAUAGACAUAAUAUACACUAGUGCAUAUGUCCAAAUUUCCACACAUAUAAAUAAGAGAAUUUAUUCGAUUCCGAUUGUAUAUUUGUACAUAUGUAUAUGUAUUAGGGUGAACUGUAUAACUUUAAAUAAUAUAAAAUAAAUAAAUAAUAUGGGUAUGCACCGGAACCCAAAAACUACUGUAUAUACCACAUUACUGUUUACUUAUAUCCUUUAAAAUUAACACAGCAGCUGUUUUUGGUUUCGAUAAGUUCUAAGCUUAAACUUAAAACUUUGAGUACUUCGUUUUUCGCGACUUCGACUCAUAUCGUUUCGCAACACCGUAUUCACCUGAUUUGACUCCGUCUUCUUCUUCUGGAUAUUCAACAAACUCAAAGGCCAAUGCGGGAACGCAGUUUGGACACGAUUAAGGAGAUAAAAAUCUAAUCGAAGAAGAUCUUGAAGACUAUAUCGGUUAAAGACUACUCCGACUGUUUUGAGAACUGGAAAAAGCGUUGGCAAAAGCUAAGUCCCUAUCGGACAGCCCUAGUAUUGGACCAACUCUGUCAUACCUACAGUAAUUUAUAUAAUACAAGUAUAAUACAAAAUGAUGUCUAAAUUGAGGUAUUCCCAAAACAGUAGGACCUAGUUCUAUUAUCAAAGCAGCAUUUGCAAAACCAACAACUAUAAACAGAGUGGACUCGAAAGACAAUACAUCAGUUCAUAUCUUUGACAUCCCUCUUUGGAGUCCUGAUUAGUAGUUUCUUGCAGAUGAACUCCGAAGGACUGGCUACUGUUAAUAGAGCUUCAACGAUAUAGUUCUCCCUUUAAGGACAUGUAAAUCAUGCAAACAAAUAUAAUAUAUGGAAAAACAACAGUCAAAGACGUGUUCUGAAUCACUAUUCAAAACAAUAUUGAAUAGUUCCCUCUAUAGUCUAGUCAACAUAACUGGAGCGGUACUAGAUCAAUAUCCGCCCACGAACUGCUACACCAGCCACAUUGCCCAAAACUGUUUGCGGAAUAUUUAAUGCUGCUAU